UACGAAGGGUGCAAGCGUUAAUCGGAAUUACUGGGCGUAAAGGGUGCGUAGGCGGUUGUUUAAGUCUGUCGUGAAAUCCCCGGGCUCAACCUGGGAAUGGCGAUGGAUACUGGGCAGCUAGAGUGUGUCAGAGGAUGGUGGAAUUCCCGGUGUAGCGGUGAAAUGCGUAGAGAUCGGGAGGAACAUCAGUGGCGAAGGCGGCCAUCUGGGACAACAUUGACGCUGAAGCACGAAAGCGUGGGGAGCAAACAGG
rnacentral:rRNA from 1 species